rnacentral:rRNA from 1 species
UACGUAGGGUGCGAGCGUUGUCCGGAAUUAUUGGGCGUAAAGGGCUCGUAGGCGGUUUGUCGCGUCGGGAGUGAAAUCCACUGGCUUAACUGGUGGCUUGCUUUCGAUACGGGCAGACUGGAGGUAUGCAGGGGAGAACGAAUUCCUGGUGUAGCGUGAAAUGCGCAGAUAUCAGGAGGAACACCGGUGGCGAAGGCGGGUCUCUGGGACGGUACUGACGCUGAGACGCGAAAGCGUGGGAACGAACAGG